UACGGUAGGGUGCAAGCGUUGUCCGGAAUUAUUGGGCGUAAAGAGCUCGUAGGCGGUCUGUCGCGUCGGCUGUGAAAUCCCGAGGCUCAACCUCGGGUCUGCAGUCGAUACGGGCAAACUAGAGUAUUGCAGGGGAGACUGGAAUUCCUGGUGUAGCGGUGGAAAUGCGCAGAUAUCGAGAGGAACACCAGUGGCGAGGGCGAGUCCCUGGACAACACCUGACACUGAGGCAACGAAAGCCUAGGGGAGCAAACAGG
rnacentral:rRNA from 1 species